GACGAACGCUGGCGGCGUGCUUAACACAUGCAAGUCGAGCGGUAAGGCCCUUCGGGGUACACGAGCGGCGAACGGGUGAGUAACACGUGGGUGAUCUGCCUCGCACUCUGGGAUAAGCCUGGGAAACUGGGUCUAAUACCGGAUAUGACCACCGGUCGCAUGGUUGGUGGUGGAAAGAUUUAUCGGUGCGAGAUGGGCCCGCGGCCUAUCAGCUUGUUGGUGGGGUAAUGGCCUACCAAGGCGACGACGGGUAGCCGGCCUGAGAGGGCGACCGGCCACACUGGGACUGAGACACGGCCCAGACUCCUACGGGAGGCAGCAGUGGGGAAUAUUGCACAAUGGGCGAAAGCCUGAUGCAGCGACGCCGCGUGAGGGAUGACGGCCUUCGGGUUGUAAACCUCUUUCGACAGGGACGAAGCGCAAGUGACGGUACCUGUAGAAGAAGCACCGGCCAACUACGUG
rnacentral:rRNA from 2 species